rnacentral:rRNA from 1 species
GAUGAACGCUGGCGGCGUGCUUAACACAUGCAAGUCGAACGAGGAAGCCCAGCUUGCUGGGGGGAUUAGUGGCGAACGGGGGAGUAACACGUGAGUAACCUGCCCUUCACUCUGGGAUAAGCCUGGAAAACUGGGUCUAAUACCGGAUAGGAGCGUCCACCGCAUGGGGGGUGUUGGAGAGAUUUAUCGUUUUUGGAUGGACUCGCGGCCUAUCAGCUUGUUGGUGAGGUAAUGGCUCACCAGGGCGACGACGCGUAGCCGGCCUGGGAGGGUGACCGGCCACGCUGGGACUGGGACACGGCCCAGACUCGUCCGGGAGGCAGCAGUGGGGAAGAUUGCACAAUGGGCGCAAGCCUGAUGCAGCGCCGCCGCGUGAGGGAUGACGGCCUUCGGGUUGUAAACCUCUGUCAGUAGGGAAGAAGCGAAAGUGACGGUACCUGCAGAAGAAGCACCGGCUAACUACGUG